rnacentral:rRNA from 1 species
UCACUUUCAACAACGGAUCUCUUGGUUCUCGCAUCGAUGAAGAACGUAGCGAAGUGCGAUAAGUAAUGUGAAUUGCAGAAUUCCGUGAAUCAUCGAAUUUUUGAACGCAAAUUGCACUCUCUGGUGUUCCAAGGGAGUAUGCCUGUUUGAGGGUUAAUU